rnacentral:rRNA from 1 species
GGGACAACAUUUGGAAACGAAUGCUAAUACCGCAUAACAACUUUAAACACAAGUUUUAAGUUUGAAAGAUGCAAUUGCAUCACUCAAAGAUGAUCCCGCGUUGUAUUAGCUAGUUGGUGAGGUAAAGGCUCACCAAGGCGAUGAUACAUAGCCGACCUGAGAGGGUGAUCGGCCACAUUGGGACUGAGACACGGCCCAAACUCCUACGGGAGGCAGCAGUAGGGAAUCUUCGGCAAUGGACGAAAGUCUGACCGAGCAACGCCGCGUGAGUGAAGAAGGUUUUCGGAUCGUAAAACUCUGUUGGUAGAGAAGAACGUUGGUGAGAGUGGAAAGCUCAUCAAGUGACGGUAACUACCCAGAAAGGGACGGCUAACUACGUGCCAGCAGCCGCGGUAAUACGUAGGUCCCGAGCGUUGUCCGGAUUUAUUGGGCGUAAAGCGAGCGCAGGUGGUUUAUUAAGUCUGGUGUAAAAGGCAGUGGCUCAACCAUUGUAUGCAUUGGAAACUGGUAGACUUGAGUGCAGGAGAGGAGAGUGGAAUUCCAUGUGUAGCGGUGAAAUGCGUAGAUAUAUGGAGGAACACCGGUGGCGAAAGCGGCUCUCUGGCCUGUAACUGACACUGAGGCUCGAAAGCGUGGGGAGCAAACAGGGUUAGAUACCCUGGUAGUCCACGCCGUAAACGAUGAGUGCUAGAUGUAGGGAGCUAUAAGUUCUCUGUAUCGCAGCUAACGCAAU